CGUGGGUAACCUACCCAUCAGAGGGGGAUAACACUUGGAAACAGGUGCUAAUACCGCAUAACAGUUUAUGCCGCAUGGCAUAAGAGUGAAAGGCGCUUUCGGGCGUCGCUGAUGGAUGGACCCGCGGUGCAUUAGCUAGUUGGUGAGGUAACGGCUCACCAAGGCCACGGUGCAUAGCCGACCUGAGAGGGUGAUCGGCCACACUGGGACUGAGACACGGCCCAG
rnacentral:rRNA from 1 species